CCGAUGAACACCGUGGUCUACAACUCUCUCAUCGACUCCCAGGCACGUGUUGGCUUGAUGGACGAGGUGGGCCUCCUGGUGCAGCA
rnacentral:ribozyme from 1 species